rnacentral:rRNA from 1 species
GGAUAACGCUGGCGGUAUGCUAACGAUCUCACAUCGAACGAAAGUUAUCCUUGACUGAGCGGACGGGUGAGUAAUACGUGAGAAUCUACCUUUAGGAAGGGAAUAACAAUUGGAAACGAUUGCUAAUGCCCUAUAUGCUUAGCAGUGAAACAGAUUAUCUGCCUGAAGAUGAGCUCGCGCCUGAUUAGCUAGUUGGUAGAGUAAAAGCCUACCAAGGCAACGAUCAGUAGCUGGUUUGAGAGGACGAUCAGCCACACUGGGACUGAGACACGGCCCAGACUUCUACGGAAGGCAGCAGUGGGGAAUUUUCCGCAAUGAGCGAAAGCUUGACGGAGCAAUAACGCGUGAGGGAAGAAUGCCUGUGGGUUGUAAACCUCUUUUUUUAGGGAAGACAAAUAUGACGGUACCUAACGAAUAAGCAUCGGCUAACUCCGUGCCAGCAGCCGCGGUAAUACGGGGGAUGCAAGCGUUAUACGGAAAUAAUGGGCGUAAAGCGGUCUUGCAGGUGGCUAUAAAAGUCUGCUGUUAAAUAUAAGAGCUCAACUCUGAGUAAGCAGUGGAAACUGUUAGGAUAGAGUAUGGAAUGGGUAAAGGAACUCCCAGAGUAGCGGUGAAAUGCGUAGAUUUUGGGAAGAACACAGUAGGAAAGAGCUUAAUAGAACAUUACUGGAACUCAGAAAAGAAAACUAAGGGA